AUCAAAUUGGCAUUUACUAUGUGGUCCCUAAAGACUUUCUGUUUGUAUCAAAUGGAAGACUGACUUGGUCCUCAGCCUCAGGGCUAAAUUGGUCUACAGGUUGAACUCCCAAGUUGUCUCAUUACAUGAUUAAUGAUAUCCAUAGUAAGAGUGAUGCACAGUGAAGUUUCUGGUGCUUCUACAUAAAUAGAUUCAAUGUUUAAAGUUAUCAAUUAUAGGAGACAGAAUACUCUUAUGCAAUGAGGAAAUCACUUUUCCUGGUGGGCUUUUAAUAACAUUGAAUUUAUCAAGGGUUGACACUUUUACUGUUAUUUCCUUUAAGCUAUUAAAAAAACCCCUGUUUAUCCACAAUAGCCAGGAUAUUUUUUAAGAAGAAAAGGAUAAGGUGGUGAUAUGAAAAAACCACUAGAUAGGUAGUUCCCAGAGUAUAUCACAUUCCUUUAAUGAAUCUUUUUACAUAUAGCAUCAAGGAUGUAAGGACUUCAAAUGCCAAGGUGACCCUCAUGAUAAAACUCUGCACUUGAAGUUGGAAGACAGACUGAAAAGUCAUGGACAGUCCUC
rnacentral:lncRNA from 1 species